GCGUCCGUAGCUCAGUUGGAUAGAGCAUCGGUUUCCGGGGCCGAAGGUCGCAGGUUCAAAUCCUGCCGGACGCA
rnacentral:tRNA from 2 species